UGCAGUCGAGCGGACAGAAGGGAGCUUGCUCCCGGAUGUUAGCGGCGGACGGGUGAGUAACACGUGGGUAACCUGCCUGUAAGACUGGGAUAACUCCGGGAAACCGGAGCUAAUACCGGAUAGUUCCUUGAACCGCAUGGUUCAAGGAUGAAAGACGGUUUCGGCUGUCACUUACAGAUGGACCCGCGGCGCAUUAGCUAGUUGGUGGGGUAAUGGCUCACCAAGGCGACGAUGCGUAGCCGACCUGAGAGGGUGAUCGGCCACACUGGGACUGAGACACGGCCCAGACUCCUACGGGAGGCAGCAGUAGGGAAUCUUCCGCAAUGGACGAAAGUCUGACGGAGCAACGCCGCGUGAGUGAUGAAGGUUUUCGGAUCGUAAAGCUCUGUUGUUAGGGAAGAACAAGUGCGAGAGUAACUGCUCGCACCUUGACGGUACCUAACCAGAAAGCCACGGCUAACUACGUGCCAGCAGCCGCGGUAAUACGUAGGUGGCAAGCGUUGUCCGGAAUUAUUGGGCGUAAAGGGCUCGCAGGCGGUUUCUUAAGUCUGAUGUGAAAGCCCCCGGCUCAACCGGGGAGGGUCAUUGGAAACUGGGAAACUUGAGUGCAGAAGAGGAGAGUGGAAUUCCACGUGUAGCGGUGAAAUGCGUAGAGAUGUGGAGGAACACCAGUGGCGAAGGCGACUCUCUGGUCUGUAACUGACGCUGAGGAGCGAAAGCGUGGGGAGCGAACAGGAUUAGAUACCCUGGUAGUCCACGCCGUAAACGAUGAGUGCUAAGUGUUAAGGGGGUUUCCGCCCCUUAGUGCUGCAGCUAACGCAUUAAGCACUCCGCCCGGGGGAGUACGGUCGCAAGACUGAAACUCAAAGGAAUUGACGGGGGCCCGCACAAGCGGUGGAACAUGUGGGUUUAAUUCGAAGCAACGCGAAGAACCUUACCAGGUCUUGACAUCCUCUGACAACCCUAGAAGAUAGGGCUUUUCCCUUCGGGGACAGAGUGACAGGUGGUUGCAGGGUUGUCGUCAGCUCGUGUCGUGAAGAUGUUUGGGUUAAGUCCCGCAACGAAGCGCAACCCUUGGAUCUUAAUUUGCCAGCCAUUCAAUUU
rnacentral:rRNA from 1 species